rnacentral:rRNA from 1 species
UACGUAGGGUGCGAGCGUUGUCCGGAAUUAUUGGGCGUAAAGGGCUCGUAGGCGGUUUGUCGCGUCGGGAGUGAAAUCCACUGGCUUAACUGGUGGCUUGCUUUCGAUACGGGCAGACUGGAGGUAUGCAGGGGAGAACGGAAUUCCUGGUGUAGCGGUGAAAUGCGCAGAUAUCAGGAGGAACACCGGUGGCGAAGGCGGGUCUCUGGAACGGCACUGACGCUGAGACGCGAAAGCGUGGGGAGCGAACAGG